GACGAACGCUGGCGGCGUGCUUAACACAUGCAAGUCGAACGGAAAGACCCUGCUUUUGUGGGUUGCUCGAGUGGCGAACGGGUGAGUGACACGUGAGUAACCUGCCCUUGACUUUGGGAUAACUUCAGGAGACUGGGGCUAAUACAGGAUAGGAGCUCCUGCUGCAUGGUGGGGGUUGGAGAGUUUCGGCGGUUGGGGCUCGACUCGCGGCUUAUCAGCUUGUUGGGGGGGUAGUGGUAUACCAGGGGUUUGACGGGUAGCCGGCCUGGGAGGGUGACCGGGGACAAGGGUACUGAGAUAGGGCCCAGUCUGCUAUGGGAGGCAGCAGUGGGGAAUAUGGCACAACGGGGGGAAGCCUGAGGCAGCAACGCCGGGAUCGUGAUGACGGCUUUCGGGUGGUAAACCGAUUUCUCCGGUGAUGAAGAGUUAGUGACGGUAAUGGGUAAAGAAGCACCGGCUAACUACGUG
rnacentral:rRNA from 1 species